UGCACUCUGCACACCCACUUCU
rnacentral:miRNA from 1 species